rnacentral:rRNA from 1 species
CCCUUAGAUGUUCUGGGCCGCACGCGCGCUACACUGACGGAGGCAGCGAGCAUGUCCUUCGCCGAGAGGUGUGGGGAAUCUUGUGAGUCUCCGUCGUGCUGGGGAUAGAUGGUUGCAAUUGUCGAUCUUGAACGAGGAAUUCCUAGUAAGCGCGAGUCAUCAGCUCGCGCUGAUUACGUCCCUGCCCUUUGUACACACCGCCCGUCGCUACUACCGAUUGGAUGGCUUAGCGAGAAUUUUGGAUCGGAGCCCGGGUGGUCGGCAACGGUCGCCCGGGAGAUCUGAGAAAUCAUUCCAGCUUGGUCAUCUAGAGGAAGUAAAAGUCGUAACAA